AGUCUGUCUGUCUGUCUAGCACAAGAACAGACAGAAAAAUGUCAAAUGGCUCUUUUGAAUAUUGCUGAACUCUUCAUCUCCGAAAAUAAUUACGGCAAGGCCCUGCAGUUCAUUCAGGCUGAGAAGAUGUUCUAUGAGGUUGCUCUGAUCGAGCUCACUGCUGUUCAGGGGAGCACAGGCCCCCAGGAGGAGGCUUUGCUGGGCUCGGCGGGGACAGGAUGGGCGUCCUCAGAGGAGCUAUCGGAUCAGGCCUCUCAGGCACAGCACCUGGAGCAGCUAGCCCAGCUCUGCAUCGUGAGUAAAAGACCUCAUCUUGCUUUAGAGUACAGUGGGAAAGCCACUAAGAUCCAUCAGAGGGCCUUUGGCAACGACCACCCCAUCACAGACAGGAGUCUGGAGCUGCUGGCCACCGUCUACGCAGAGAUCGGCAAGACAGAAUACUCAGACUCCCUGGACCAGUGUGUGUCAGUGCUGUCCAAGAGGUUUGCUGCUGCCGAGUCCUUCAGAGACAAACUCAACAACGGUCUUCCCCAUUCCCACUCCCAUUCCCAUCGGGAGAAACACACUGAGGUCUGGCACAGGAAAGACCCCAGUCCACAGGAUGACACACCAAAACCGAAGGUCACCAACGGUAAAAUCCCUACGUCCAUACUGAAGAGGUCUGGCUCAGGAUCAGACUCGGAGCCCAGCCACAGAUGGAAAGGCGAGCGACGGGUCCGGUUCCGGGAGCCUGAGACCACUGUGCAUGACGUUCCAUACUAUGACUGUUUAGUUGCCUAUGACACGUCACCGCCACGCCCCCACCUGGCCCUGUUCACCUGCUUGUUCCUGCUGAUGUCACUGCUGGGCGUGGUCAUGUACAGCACGGACCGCCGGCGCCCACAGCGUGUGUGUGAGGAGCUGGAGGCCUCAUUGGCUGUCUAUCUGAUACACAUGAAACAGCUGCUGUGGGGCUGCUGGAUCUGGCUAACCAUGCAGUGA
ensembl:lncRNA